rnacentral:SRP_RNA from 1 species
UGUUGGUUCUCCCGCAACGCUACUCUGUUUACCAGGUCAGGUCCGGAAGGAAGCAGCCAAGGCAGAUGACGCGUGUGCCGGCAUGUAGCUGGCAGGG